rnacentral:rRNA from 1 species
AUUGAACGCUGGCGGCAUGCCUUACACAUGCAAGUCGAACGGCAGCACGGGAGCAAUCCUGGUGGCGAGUGGCGAACGGGUGAGUAAAGUAUCGGAACGUGCCCAGUCGUGGGGGAUAACGCAGCGAAAGUUACGCUAAUACCGCAUACGAUCUAUGGAUGAAAGCGGGGGAUCGCAAGACCUCGCGCGAUUGGAGCGGCCGAUAUCAGAUUAGGUAGGUGGUGGGGUAAAGGCUCACCAAGCCGACGAUCUGUAGCUGGUCUGAGAGGACGACCAGCCACACUGGGACUGAGACACGGCCCAGACUCCUACGGGAGGCAGCAGUGGGGAAUUUUGGACAAUGGGCGAAAGCCUGAUCCAGCCAUGCCGCGUGCAGGAUGAAGGCCUUCGGGUUGUAAACUGCUUUUGUACGGAACGAAAAGGUUUGGCCUAAUAAGCUGAGCUCAUGACGGUACCGUAAGAAUAAGCACCGGCUAACUACGUGCCAGCCGCCGCAGUAA